rnacentral:lncRNA from 1 species
AUUGGAACACAAUUGGACCCUCAUCCAUCCCAGCUAAUGAGUCUACAACAGUAGCACACAAUUCCACAAUUGGACCAUCACCCACCUCAGCUAAUGCCUCUAAACUAACAGAGAAUUCCACAUAUGGACCUUCACCCACCCCAGCUAAUGAAUCUAAACCAGCAGAGAAUUCCACAUCUGGACCCUCACCCCCCCCAGCUAAUGUAUCUAAGCCAGCAGAGAAUUUCACAAUUGGACCUUUACCCACUCCAGAGAAUUCCACAGUUAGACCAUCAACCACUCCAGCUAAUGAAUCUAAACCAGCAGAAAAUUCCACAGUUGCCCCCUCACCCACCCCAGCUAAUGAAUCUAAACCAGAGAAUUCAACAGUUAGACCAUCAACCACUCCAGCUAAUGAAUCUAAACCAGCAGGUAUGUGUAAGAGGCAGACAGUAUAAUGAGCUCAGUGGAUGUAACAAAGUCUUUGUAACA